rnacentral:sRNA from 1 species
CUGCUAUAUUAUCAGUAGUAGUAGUACAUGCCAAUGGCCACUUCUCCAUUCCUCUCCUUCUCCUUCCUGUGUGUAUUACUUGUCUGUCUCAUGUUCUUGCAAGAACGAAGUUUUGCUGGUGUGAGAGAAUGAAGCUGCCAGCAUGAUCUGGUUGUCAGGCAUGAGCCAAAUCUAUCCAUGGUGUUGGUGGUACUGAAAUUACCGCGUUUUCGAGGUUUUUCGUCGUGUCAACUUGCGAAGGGAAUUACGGGUUCUUGAUGAGCAUUGGUGAUAGGAGGUGUGGGCUUGGUUAGUAGAGGUAGAAUUAUGAUUGUUCUUGUGAGUUUCAGUAAGAGGUGGGAGUGAUUGGAAUUUGGCUCCAUCAGAUCAUGUUGCAGCUUCACUCUCUCACCACCAACAAAAGAUCCGAAGGAGAUUGUGCAAGUUCUCCAUUUCUUUGUUGUCCUAUGAUGGAUCAUGAAAACAAGGUAGAUUUGCUAUCUCUCACCUUGUUGUACGAUUUCGUUUGUUUAUUAGAUCUUUAUUUCAUUAUGGUGUUUCUCUUUCUUUUGAGAGUUUGAUUUUGUCCUCUCCUUUUCAUAGAACUGCGUGAUUUUGCUUUUGUUCUACUUUGCAAAAGCUUUGCCUCAUGCAAAAUUCUCUCGCCUUUUUCACUGCAUAUAACAUAUGUAUAAUUUACAGAAGUAUUGAUCUGCUUCAGUUGCAUCAGCUUAACCCAUUAAAUCAAGCUGAUCCUUAGUGGAAUAGAACUAUAGAAAGGAAGGAAAACCAGUGAUCAUUUGUCACAUACACAGUUUCAAAUGUUGUUUAUUUCUUGUCCUCUUGAAAUCAUUUUGUGCAGUAAUUCUGCUAAAUGUCUUCCAACUUUGCUACAGUUACGAAAUUCAA